rnacentral:rRNA from 1 species
UACGGAGGAUCCGAGUGUUAUCCGGAUUUACUGGGUUUAAAGGGUGUGUAGGCGGGCUUUUAAGUCUGGGGUGAAAUCUCCGAGCUCAACUCGGAAACUGCCUUGGAUACUAUUAGUCUUGAAUUAUGUUGAGGUUGGCGGAAUAUAACAUGUAGCGGUGAAAUGCAUAGAUAUGUUAUAGAACACCGAUUGCGAAGGCAGCUAACUAAGCAUAUAUUGACGCUGAGGCACGAAAGCGUGGGGAGCAAACAGG